rnacentral:rRNA from 1 species
UACACGACCGUACCGCAAACCGACACUGGUGCGCGAGAUGAGUAUUCUAAGGCGCUUGAGAGAACUCAGGAGAAGGAACUCGGCAAAUUGACACCGUAACUUCGGAAGAAGGUGUGCCUUUAGUAGGUGAACCUGUACAAGGGGAGCCCAAUGAGGUUGCAAAAAAUCGGUGGCUGCGACUGUUUAAUAAAAACACAGCACUCUGCAAACACGAAAGUGGACGUAUAGGGUGUGACGCCUGCCCGGUGCUGGAAGAUUAAAUGAUGGGGUGCAAGCUCUUGAUUGAAGUCCCAGUAAACGGCGGCCGUAACUAUAACGGUCCUAAGGUAGCGAAAUUCCUUGUCGGGUAAGUUCCGACCUGCACGAAUGGCGUAACGAUGGCCACACUGUCUCCUCCUGAGACUCAGCGAAGUUGAAAUGUUUGUGAUGAUGCAAUCUCCCCGCGGAAAGACGGAAAGACCCCAUGAACCUUUACUGUAGCUUUGUAUUGGACUUUGAACAGAUCUGUGUAGGAUAGGUGGGAGGCUUUGAAGUGUGGUCGCUAGAUCGCAUGGAGCCAACGUUGAAAUACCACCCUGGUGUGUUUGAGGUUCUAACCUAGGCCCGUAAUCCGGGUCGGGGACAGUGCAUGGUAGGCAGUUUGACUGGGGCGGUCUCCUCCCAAAGCGUAACGGAGGAGUUCGAAGGUACGCUAGGUACGGUCGGACAUCGUGCUAAUAGUGCAAUGGCAUAAGCGUGCUUAACUGCGAGACUGACAAGUCGAGCAGAUGCGAAAGCAGGACAUAGUGAUCCGGUGGUUCUGUAUGGAAGGGCCAUCGCUCAACGGAUAAAAGGUACUCUGGGGAUAACAGGCUGAUACCGCCCAAGAGUUCAUAUCGACGGCGGUGUUUGGCACCUCGAUGUCGGCUCAUCUCAUCCUGGGGCUGUAGCCGGUCCCAAGGGUAUGGCUGUUCGCCAUUUAAAGAGGUACGUGAGCUGGGUUUAAAACGUCGUGAGACAGUUUGGUCCCUAUCUUCCGUGGGCGCUGCAGAUUUGAGGAAGCCUGCUCCUAGUACGAGAGGACCGGAGUGGACACACCUCUGGUGUAUCGGUUGUCACGCCAGUGGCAUUGCCGAGUAGCUAUGUGUGGAAGAGAUAACCGCUGAAAGCAUCUAAGCGGGAAACUCGUUUCAAGAUGAGAUCUGCCGGGGCCUUGAGCCCCCUAAAGAGUCGUUCAAGACCAGGACGUUGAUAGGUCGGGUGUGGAAGCGCAGUAAUGCGUUAAGCUAACCGAUACUAAUUGCUCGUGCGGCUUGAUCAA